rnacentral:tRNA from 1 species
CUCUCCGUAGCUCAGUUGGUAGAGCAGCUGACUCUUAAUCAGCGGGUCCAAGGUUCGAAUCCUUGCGGGGAGA